UAAUAAAUAAAACGAUUUAAAGUUUAAAAUUUUAAUAAAUCUUAUUGAAAACUUUUGUAAAAAAAAGUUGCAAUUCUAAUACCCCUCUGGUUGCCACUGUAAAGAGUAGGUAUUACAUUUCGCACCUGUUACAUUGGGGCUCGCAUAUAUGUAAAUUUAAGAAAUAAUACAUUGUUUAACACUGCCAAAUACUCCUGGUCUCCCUCAGUGUGCCCCUCCAUGCCGUGCUGGUUUGUCGCUCUCUCUGGAAUCCUGGGCUGGAACCCAAGGAGAAGCCUUCCGUGGGUGCCUUGCAGGGCUGGGAAAUGAAACUCGGUUACGCAAGAAUAGAUUUCAUUUGACUGGUGUGGGUUGAAUUGUCACCCAAAUUAUUUGUUAAACUCCUAACACCCGAAGCCUUUGAAUGCGCCCUUAUUUGAAACCAGGGUGUUUGCAGAUGUAAUCAGUUAAAAUGGGGUCAUCCUGGGUUAAGGUGGGUCCUGAUCCAAUGAGGGAAACUUGGAACCAGACACCUGCACAAGGAGAAGGCCGUGUCAGGGGGAGGCGGGGAUCGCAGUGAUGCAGCCACAAGGCCGCCUGGAGCCGUCUGAAGCUGGAGGAGCAGAGUCUCCCUUGGCCACUGGAGGGAGCUCAGUCCUGCCCACAUGUUGACUUCAGCCGUCUGGCCCCGAGAACUGUGAGGGAAACACUCCUGUCGUGUUAAGCCACCCAGCUUGUGGUCACUUGCUGCGACCGCCCCAGGAAAGGAAGUCAGCACCUUCUAGGUGGAAAGGCCCACGUUUGUCUCCGGAUGCGUCCUCGCCCCUGAACUGCAGGUGCACAGACGUAUCCAGCCACCGACUGGCACCUCCACGUGGGCGUCUCCAAGGUCACCUGCUGUCUCAGUCAGCUCAGGAAGCUCUAACGAAGCACCACAGACUGAGGGGCCUAUAAACAACAGAUGUUUACUUCUCACUGUUCUAGAGGCUGGGAGUCGGGAUCAGCUGCCGGCAGGCAUCCAAGUCAUUGGCAGAUGCCUUUGGCUCCACUGUUGGAAUUUAUCAAGAACACAAGCCCUUCCCACCGCCUCCUCUCCAGCGUGCCUGCAUCGCCUUCUCCUUGUCCUCAGCUUCCCUGACCUCUUGCCCUCGGGGUGCACCUGUCAAAAUGGAAAUCAGGUCGUGUCGUUCAUCUGCUGAAACCCUCCAUGGCUCCCCGUUUCAUGUGGAGUAAAAGCCUGACGCAGCCUGAAAGUGUCUGUCUCAGCAGGUCUGCGGUGACGCCCCAGAAUCUGCAUUUCUAACGUGUUCCAGCGUGCUGGUGAUGUUGCUGGUCUGGGAGUCACUCUUGGGAGAAUUGCUGAACUAGAUUUUUCUGUGCUGAUCUGGGAAAGUGGCCGUGAUAUGUUGUUAAGUGAAAAAAAGCAAACUAUGGAGAAUAGACCAAUGGUGAGCAAGACUUCCUUUCCAGGGCUACCUGUGGCCAGUCCCCAAGCCAUGGCCUAGAUUUGUGAUGCUUGUGCCCUUCCUGACUCCAGGGGGCAGCAUUCACAUUGUGGUCUUUGUGAAUGGCACUCCUGGAGUUGUGCAGUGCACAACCCAUACAGCUGUACCAGGCAGCCCUGCCCUGUUCUGGGUUUCUCUCCUCCCUCUCCCUUUCUUUUUUGCUUCAGCUGCUCAUGCAGAGGUCAGAGCUGGGAGGAGACCCAGGGAGACAAAAUCAUGGUCCCAGCUCACUCACCCUAUUUGACCUUGGGAAGUCACCUCCGCUGUCAGAGACUCAGUUUACUCAUCUGUAAAAUGGGAUUAUAGAUAUUUACUGGCAUCUAACUUGAGAUCUAUUUGACUCAUUUAUGUUGUCACUGUUGGUCUCUCCUCUUGAAUGUCAGCUUCCCGUACAGUGCUGCAAAAGGGAAUUUCACCUGUCUUGUUCGCUGCUGUAUUUCUGCGCCUGGAAUGGUGCUGGCACACAGUAGGUGCCUAACAAAUAUUUGUCAAAUCAAAGAAAGAAUAAAUGAACAGUCUGGUUGGGAGGA